rnacentral:miRNA from 1 species
GAGCCUGAUCUGUUUC